UAUAUCCAAACAUUAGUUAAUUAUAUUUUUUUUGUUACAAACAUUAGUUAAAUUACGGGGUCCCAUUCAACUCAUGGACAUGGUGACUUUUUAAAUGGAUUAAUGGGUGGAGUAUUAUUUUUCAAGUUUAACUUCAAUGGUUCUUUAAAUAGCUUGACCUAUUGCAUUGAGAUGUAUCAUAAAAUAAAAGUCAGAAAUAAUGGAGAGAAAAAUGCUUUUCGGCAUGCACUUUUUUCUCAUUUUUCUCAUUGUUAUCUUAACAGCUCAAGAAGCGGUGAUGCAGAUUGAGGCAUGUGAGAUAAGAUUGCUUAGAAGAAGCAGUGAUGCAGAUUGACGCAUCUGAGAUACUAGUAAAAUGUUUUGGUUUUGAAGGUCCAUGCAGACACAAUAAUGGAGAAGACACCGUUGUUUGUCACAUUGCGUGCCUUUUGAUGCAUAAAAUUAUGUCUGCUGGUUUCUGCGUAAAUGAUAAAUGCAUGUGUGAGGUCGGUGGAUGAGUUUUUAUUGAAUAGGUCUAAUCCCAUUUUAGUCAUGUAAUAUGAUUUAAAAAGAUAAAUCUAGCUAUAAUUUUGUUCAUGGGUGUUAAUUAUCUUUUGAGUGUUAUAUUUUGUAUAAGUUUAAAAUAAUUAACCUAGUUAUCGUUUAUUUUCUC